ensembl:lncRNA
UAGUGGCUAGGUAUUAGGGGCAGGUAAUAAGGGCUAGGUGUUAGGGGAAGGUAAUAAGGGCUAGGUAUUAGGGGAUAGGUAUUAGGGAAGCUAUUAGGGGCUAGGUAUUAGGGAAAGAUAUUUGGGGCUAGGUAUUAGGGGAUAGGUAUUAGGGGAAGGUAUUAGGGGAUACGUAUUAGGGGAAGGUAUUAGGGGCUAGGUAUUAGGGGAAGCUAUUAGGGGCUAGGUAUUAGGGAAAGAUAUUUGGGGCUAGGUAUUAGGGGCUAAGUCUUAGAGGCUAGGUAUUAGGGGAAGAUAUUAAGGGCUAGGUAUUAGUGGCUAGGAUUUAGGGGCGAAGUAUACCUCGGCAUGCUAGAGCAGCUGUAAGUUCUAUGGCAGAAUCUCAUUACCAUCCUAACAGCUUGCAGAUUCAUUUGCAUUUUUCCGUGAG